AUACUUACCUGGCAGGGGAGACACCAUGAUCAAACAGGUGGUUUUCCAGGGCGAGGCUCAUCCCUUGCACUCCAGGUGUGCUGUUUUUUCUUUCUCUAGAGAGCAGACUUUGGCCUCUUCAGGAACCUGCUCAGUAAGGUUCCAUG
ensembl:snRNA U1 U1 spliceosomal RNA